CGAACGGGUGAGUAACAGCGUGAGCAACCUGCCCCUGACUCUGGGAUAAGCGCUGGAGACGGCGUCUAAUACUGGAUACGAGUAGUGAAGGAAUCUUCAACUAUUGGAAAGAUUUUUCGGUCUGGGAUGGGCUCGCGGCCUAUCAGCUUGUUGGUGAGGUAACGGCUCACCAAGGCGUCGACGGGUAGCCGGCCUGAGAGGGUGACCGGCCACACUGGGACUGAGACACGGCCCAGACUCCUACGGGAGGCAGCAGUGGGGAAUAUUGCACAAUGGGCGCAAGCCUGAUGCAGCAACGCCGCGUGAGGGAUGACGGCCUUCGGGUUGUAAACCUCUUUUAGCAGGGAAGAAGCGAAAGUGACGGUACCUGCAGAAAAAGCGCCGGCUAACUACGUGCCAGCAGCCGCGGUAAUACGUAGGGCGCAAGCGUUAUCCGGAAUUAUUGGGCGUAAAGAGCUCGUAGGCGGUUUGUCGCGUCUGCUGUGAAAACCCGAGGCUCAACCUCGGGCCUGCAGUGGGUACGGGCAGACUAGAGUGCGGUAGGGGAGAUUGGAAUUCCUGGUGUAGCGGUGGAAUGCGCAGAUAUCAGGAGGAACACCGAUGGCGAAGGCAGAUCUCUGGGCCGUAACUGACGCUGAGGAGCGAAAGGGUGGGGAGCAAACAGGCUUAGAUACCCUGGUAGUCCACCCCGUAAACGUUGGGAACUAGUUGUGGGGUCCAUUCCACGGAUUCCGUGACGCAGCUAACGCAUUAAGUUCCCCGCCUGGGGAGUACGGCCGCAAGGCUAAAACUCAAAGGAAUUGACGGGGACCCGCACAAGCGGCGGAGCAUGCGGAUUAAUUCGAUGCAACGCGAAGAACCUUACCAAGGCUUGACAUACACGAGAACGCUGCAGAAAUGUAGAACUCUUUGGACACUCGUGAACAGGUGGUGCAUGGUUGUCGUCAGCUCGUGUCGUGAGAUGUUGGGUUAAGUCCCGCAACGAGCGCAACCCUCGUUCUAUGUUGCCAGCACGUAAUGGUGGGAACUCAUGGGAUACUGCCGGGGUCAACUCGGAGGAAGGUGGGGAUGACGUCAAAUCAUCAUGCCCCUUAUGUCUUGGGCUUCACGCAUGCUACAAUGGCCGGUACAAAGGGCUGCAAUACCGUGAGGUGGAGCGAAUCCCAAAAAGCCGGUCCCAGUUCGGAUUGAGGUCUGCAACUCGACCUCAUGAAGUCGGAGUCGCUAGUAAUCGCAGAUCAGCAACGCUGCGGUGAAUACGUUCCCGGGUCUUGUACACACCGCCCGUCAAGUCAUGAAAGUCGGUAACACCUGAAGCCGGUGGCCUAACCCUUGUGG
rnacentral:rRNA from 1 species